GCCUGGGUGGCUCAGUCGGUUAAGCAUCUGACUUCGGCUCAGGUCAUGAUCUCACGGUUUGUGGGUUCGAGCCCCACAUCGGGCU
rnacentral:tRNA from 1 species